rnacentral:rRNA from 1 species
GGGUCAGGAGGUUGGUCGUGCCACCGGUACGUACUGGUCUCACUGAUUCCUCCUUCCUGAAGAACCGUAAUGCCAUUAAUUUGGUGUUGCGGGGAAACAGGACUGUUACUUUGGAAAAAUUAGAGUGUUUAAAGCAAGCUAACGCUUGAAUACAUUAGCAUGGAAUAAUGAAAUAGGACGAUCGAUCCUAUUUUGUUGGUUUCUAGGAUUGACGUA